ensembl:snRNA U6 U6 spliceosomal RNA
GUGCUCAAUUAGGCAGCACGUGUUCUAAAAUUGGAACAAUACAGAGAAGGCCAGAGUGGCCUCUGCACAAGGAAGACACGCAAAUUCGAGAAGCAUUCCAUAUUUAA